GCACAUACUUACUUCAUUUCAGGUUAUUAAAUUGUGUUAAGCAUUAAAGUUAUUUGCCAUUCUUUGCCGCAACUCAUUUGUUCUUUUCAAUUCUAAGAAAUAUUAGAAGGUUAAAUAACUUAUCACAUAGGAGGGAUUAAUCAUGCUACCAAAAUUAGAAUGUGUGUAAUUCUGAGGGACUGAAUGUCAAAAUUGUAUGCUCAUAGCACUAAAACCACUGGGAAUCUAGGAUGCCACUAGAACAUGUAAAAUGGCAGCUAAGGUCUGUGCAAUCCCUUCAUGUUUAGAAACUGGCUAAAGCUUGAGUUCUCUUAUCUUUCGGUUAAGGUAAGGACAUUUAUCAUUUAUGUGAAUGUUUUAGACUAAUUUCUUUAUUAGUGGUUUGAGAAAUAUUCCUUUUGAGGAAAAUAGAGAGGCAAGCAAUAUUCAUUAAUAUAUCUGACAUAAAUAAAAUAGUUAAGAUAUAUAAAGCAGCCCAAGGAGUAACAUCCUUAGCUAAAGCAUUCUGAACUUCUGCCUUAAUAAUUAUGAUUUCUUAAGUGGAGUUAAAAAGAGUUGUACGGAGUACCUGUUCUACCAUAUUAUUGCUGUUUAUAGGAGUUGGGUGUGAUAGAAAAGGAAAGCUGGGUCAAAAUAAAAAAUGCUUUGUAAAAUAAACAAAGUUCCUAUUUACUUAUUAUGUAUAAACAGCCACUCACCAAGCCUCAUUUCUCCACAGGGCACCACUUUCAGAUAAAAACAUAGACCUGAAUGGCAUCAUCCAGUAUCCAAGGAAACCAUUAGAUGAUCUGUCUAGGGAUGCCAGCAAGUGCUCUCAAGAGAAAAUGUAUUCUGUUUCAUCCAGGUUCUCUAAACAUGAGCAUGCCUUUGGGGGAAGACAGAGAAGCAUGGAAGCUAUGUGAAAAAACAAACGGAUCCUAAGGACCUGGACACUUUGAACCUCUCAGGACCUCUCAGAUUCUAGCACAUAAACUCGGAGCCAAAUUCACAGCCAGCUCUCCUUCAAACUGC
rnacentral:lncRNA from 1 species